AACAGGAUUUUGUUCAGAAGCAAAGUGCGAAGAAAAUGAAAAAUGCAUUCCACUUUCCCUUGGAAAUCAUAAGUGUAUACUAUCAGACUGUGGAAUGCCUCCGUUUGUAUAUGGCUCUGACUCGAAUAGUUUGGAAAGAUGGGACGCAAUAGGAAUAUACAGACAGAUACAUCUACAGUGUCACAAAUAUAUUUUCAAGAAAAAGGGUUCUGGAAUGCUCGGAUGUUCUACAAAUGGUAACUGGACAAAAAAUCUGAGUUGUGAUUUUCAAGAAGUAUGGGUACCCUUUAAAGGCCACUUGUAUAUGGUUC